rnacentral:lncRNA from 1 species
AAGCCCCGAGGCAGGGAUGGCCGGCCCAGGAGGGAGGAGGACGACGUCCCUCCCGAGGAGAAGAGGCUGCGGCUGUUGCUGGAGGGGGGAAGCGCACAGCCCGAGGACGGGGAGGACGCGCCGCGGCCGGGCAGGAAGGAGACCGGCACCCAGACAGGUGGCGACGGCAGAGGAAUCCUUCUUAGAAAUUCCUAAGGCUCAAUGCUGUGUGGAAGAUUCUGAGAAAAAAAAUAGUUUCCGAUCUUUGGGAUUCCCGAGAUGGUCCAAUCUGCAAAAAGUUCAUUGCCAUUUCCAUCAAGGACACUGAGAACAAGAGUCUUAUCUGGAUUAGAUCCUGGGAAUUGAGAAGCUUCAGCAGGGCUUCCGCUGGGACUAGGAUCAGGAUGUGGACACCCCCAACCUGGACCGUCUGGCCGGGGAGGGCGUCAAGGCCAAGUACCUCAUGCCGCCCCUUGUCACAAUGACCUCCCCAUCCCACUUCACUGCCAUCCCAGGUAAGCGUCACUCUGCCCAUUUCACCCAAUGCCCAUCAAAGCCCCAGCGUCCGUCAUUCCCUAUGAUAAGAAGCAAAAGCUCGGUCAGCUCUAGAGAAGCUGAGGCGGCUCCAGGGUCUCACUCUGUUGCCCAGGCUGUAGCUCAGUGGCAUAAUCACAGGUCAGUGGAGCCUCAAACUCCUGGUCUCAAGCAGUCCUCCCUAGCUCAGGCUCCCCAGUAGCUGGGGCUACAGACAAGCCACAGUGUCUAAUUUUCUCAUUUUCUUAGAAAUUGGGGCAGGGGGUGUCUCACUAUGUUGUCUGGGCUUUUUGCCUGUGCCUUCUGCCCUGCUCCCUCCAGCCCCAGGGCCUUGCUUAUCCUCUGCUCAUCCAGUCCCUCCAGCUCACCAGGAGCAUGCAGUCCAGUCGGGGAGACAGACACCAGACACCCAAACAGGCACAUACAUCCCGUGACAACUCAGGAGGCAUCAAGGAGGAAAACGAGUUUUCCAGGCACUGACUACAGGGGUAAACUGGCUUCAAACUAGAGAGGGAGAAAGGGGGUCUCUGAGCAUGGGGCAGUUGAGCUGAAAGAGAUCUCAGGGGACCAGAGCAAGCAAAAGUGUUCCAGGCAGAGGGAAG